ensembl:lncRNA
CGGCCCCCGCCGCCGCUCCGGGCAUCUCCCGCCGCCGGUCCCCGCGGCGCUCCUCGGGCAGCGGUCAGCGCACGGAGAGGCAGCGUGAGAUGCGGAGAGCCGAGUGCCCCCUUAAUUAAAAAAAAUAAUAAUAACGAUAAUAAAAUAAAAUCGGACGGAAAAAAAAAAAAAAGAAAAAGUAGAAAAAAAAUUAAAAGCGUCUCAGUUUUUAAAGCAGAACUACAUAAUGUAUUAAUUGGUCGCUAUUAGCAUGCAGUUUUAUUGAGCGUAGCACACAGAAGUCUGAUUGUGAGCGAGGAGUGUUUUCAAUGAAAGUGGAGUUAUUUUAGCUGCAGACAUGUUUACAUUUCUGUGGUUUAGUCUAUAACUUUCUCUUUUUCUUGCUUCAGAAUUCUGCUCCAUGAAGCAAAGCCCUUAGCUCCCAGACAUUCCAAAAAGUCUGCCAAAAUAAUAGGGGGAAAAAAAAAAAAAAGGAGGAGAAAUAGAAAAAAACACACACACACACACACACAGAGACCCCCAAGUCUGGGUCAGGCCCAGGGCUGGAUAUGGGCAGAGUGAGCAUUACCCCCUCCUCACUCUCUCUGCAGCUAAAAAGCCUUCAGGGCUCCAUUUCCUGUUUUUAAGGAAAAAAUAAAGCGGGUCUAGGGCUGAUUUUAGACACUGCCUAAACCAGGGCUGGUGGGUGCUGAGGACCUUUAACUCUCUCCGUGCCAAAGGGUCCCCUAUAUACAGACCGCACGCUUUUCCCCUCUGGGAGCACGACGGCUUUGGACCACACUGUGCCUUUUUGAAUGCCUAAAUCAUGACCGAAAGAGGUAAGCAGCAACCUGGCCCAUGCCCAGCUCAGAGCAGCAGAGCAAAGAGACAGAGCACCCCAAAAGUGGAUCGUGCCACAGCAGCACCUCCCAGUCCCUUCUCUGUGGCCAGAGAGCAUCGCCUUCUCCCCAUACCUGCCCCACAGCCAAUGCCUCCCUGCUGGGGACAGACAACAUUGUACUGAGUGUUAGAACCACAGCUUCAGAAAAGCAAAGCAUCCCCUCCCAGUCUUGUCCCAAGCAUUUCUAGGCGCCCCUUUCCCCAUUUUAUCCCCUCCUUCUUUUUAUUUUACAUGCCAGAUGACUGCUGUAUAGUUGGACCUUUCGCUUUUGAAGAAGCCCGAAAGCGUUAUGAUUUCCUAACGCUUAAAAAAGAAAAGAAAACACCUUUCCCCCAAGAUGUUUUGUAUUAAUUUAAGUAUUGGUUCCUGGUUCGUGUCAGGCCCUUUCGCAAUGAAAUGUCCUGCGUGGGCUGUCACACCUGCUAAAUAUAAUCCUCUCUUUCUUUUGAUAUUCUGCAAAGGGCCUUUAAAGGUUCACAUCUUCCAGUCUGGAGAUUUAAUUGCUUCAUCUCAGAUUUUAAAAAGCCUUGUAAAUUGCUGAAUUUUGUCAAUUUCAAAGAAGACGGAGGGAUGUGAUGGGGCUGCAAGGUGAUGCCGAUGCCCCGUGCCCUUCUCACAGCCUUGAGCCAUUGUCCCACCCCAAAGGCCCUGCGCUUCAAGGCCAAGAAUGUGAGCUGACUUUAUGAUUUACCAAUGGGUUGAAUAUGAAAAUAGUAGCCCAUUGCACGAUGGUAAAUGCUCACGAGGGAGGAAAUCGCAGAUUCUGUUUUAUAGAAGGUAAUGGAGUGAGAUUACGCUCACUAAUGUACUUAACUCUUCAGAGAACAUAAAUCUCGCAGGAAGGCAGCCCCAAAAUGAGUGGCUCCCCAAAACACUGGCGGAACUGGGUUAGGAUGGUUGCUUAGCCCCGUGACCAGGCAGGGACGGGGCCGUCCCACCCCUGGGGACAGAGGGACAUGAGUCCCCAUGAAGUCACACCAUGCAUCUUUCCUGUCAGUAUGAAUGAUACAGAGGGGCUGUAGCCCUCCACCAUCUUCAAAGCAAAGCCCUGAGCCUCUUCCACUGGCGGGGACAGCGGACUGCCUGCAAGCAAGCAGCCACCAGUAUAGGAGAUGGGGACAUGGCUUAGAGAUGGGAUCUGGUAGGGACCUGAGCCAGCAGCAUGCUCUGGCAGGCAGAGACACCACUCUCAGAAGUAGGGUUUGAAUUUUGGCUGGUCCUGUGUGAAGCCAGGAGCUGGACUUGUGGAUCCUUGUGGGUCCCUUCCAGCUCAGGAUAUUCCAUGAUCUUAUGAUUCUGUGAUUCUAAGUCAGGUUGGUGGUUGAACUGGUGUUCUUGAAGGUCUUUUCUGAUCUGGAUGAUUCUAUGUUUCUGUGGUAGAGUACCUACACAGCACCUCUUACACAGUUCUGGAAGAAUGAAACUUCCAGGUGCUUCUGCAGGUGAAGACCAGGCCUUCAGAUGCCGCCUCUUGGUAAGUCCCAGUCUAGACAACAAAACCUGAAAAUAAACACAAGACCCGAAGAUCAGCACUAGAGAAACCAGAAUAAAGACCAAGUGAACUUUCCCAUCCACAUUUCAGCAUCCAGAACUUAGCCUCUUACUGCUUCUCAGUUUGGAGUGGGAGCAUAGGGGGGCAGAAUUUGCGUAUUUUCCUAUUUUACCCAAGGCAUUGUUCCUCCCCUCUCUAAAAGGGGCAUUUCUCUGCCUCACUGCCUAGAUUCGAGGAACAAGAACUCAUCCAAUGAAUCAGUGAAGAAACGCUGAGCAGGGCAUCUUUUUAAGAAUUGCUAACAUCUUCAACCACAUGGUGAAAAUUAAAAAUAAGAAAGCAAAAAAAAAAAAAAAAAAAAGAGCAAUUUCAAAGGCCAGAAUGACAAACGUAGGUGACAAAAAGCUGUAACUUCUGAAGUUUGCAUCUAUUUAUAAGUGAAGAAUUCAUCCAGCAUGCAGAAAUAUUGAGAUCGGGAUGACUGUUGAAAUAUAGAAGGCUGAUAAAUAAUGCAUGAAGACAAGUCUGAUCAAAAUUAAAAUGCUUGAGUUGUUGAGUAGAGAACAAUUAAGAAGUUUAAACAUCACAUUGUUACUUGCUUAUUAUUUACACAUCCUUACAUUUUUGCGCUCCCUUUGAUUAUUCGGCAUGUAGUGGUCUCUGAAGAGGUCAUAGCUUACUUCACAUGUAACUAGACAAAGUUUCAAUAUCCAAAUGUGUUAAGUAUUUACAGGAUUUAAAUUAGUGAGCUGUUCUAAUUGUC